CGGGUUGGCCAGGCGAUCGCGUUGGGUCCUUAUUAAAGGAGCCACCGAGGAAAGUCCGGGCUCCGCAGAGCAGGGUGGUGGGUAACGCCCACUCGGGGAAACCCGCAGGCCAGUGCCACAGAAAAGAAACCGCCGUUGAUGGUGAUCCGCUUGGAACACUGUCUGUUCGGUAAGGGUGAAAAGGUGGUGUAAGAGACCACCAGCGUUCCGGGUGACCGGAGCGGCUAGGUAAACCCCACCCGGAGCAAGGCCAUACAGGACGCGUUUGAGGGCUGCUCGCCCGAUGCGUCCGGGUAGGCCGCUUGAGGGCGCCGGCAACGGCGUUCCCAGAUGGAUGAUUGCCGCCUCCGGCCCGGUAACGGACCGGAGAUACAAAACCCGGCUUAUCGGCCAGCCCGUCCA
rnacentral:RNase_P_RNA from 2 species